GGGGGGGAUUCAAAGCGGACCAAUCGGGUGAGUAACACGUGGAGUAACCUGCCCCUGACUCUGGGAUAAGCGUUGGAAACGACGUCUAAUACUGGAUAUGACUACUGGUCGCAUGGCCUGGUGGUGGAAAGAUUUUUUGGUUGGGGAUGGACUCGCGGCCUAUCAGCUUGUUGGUGAGGUAAUGGCUCACCAAGGCGACGACGGGUAGCCGGCCUGAGAGGGUGACCGGCCACACUGGGACUGAGACACGGCCCAGACUCCUACGGGAGGCAGCAGUGGGGAAUAUUGCACAAUGGGCGAAAGCCUGAUGCAGCAACGCCGCGUGAGGGAUGACGGCCUUCGGGUUGUAAACCUCUUUUAGUAGGGAAGAAGCGAAAGUGACGGUACCUGCAGAAAAAGCACCGGCUAACUACGUGCCAGCAGCCGCGGUAAUACGUAGGGUGCAAGCGUUGUCCGGAAUUAUUGGGCGUAAAGAGCUCGUAGGCGGUUUGUCGCGUCUGCUGUGAAAUCCCGAGGCUCAACCUCGGGCUUGCAGUGGGUACGGGCAGACUAGAGUGCGGUAGGGGAGAUUGGAAUUCCUGGUGUAGCGGUGGAAUGCGCAGAUAUCAGGAGGAACACCGAUGGCGAAGGCAGAUCUCUGGGCCGUAACUGACGCUGAGGAGCGAAAGCGUGGGGAGCGAACAGGAUUAGAUACCCUGGUAGUCCACGCCGUAAACGUUGGGCGCUAGAUGUAGGGACCUUUCCACGGUUUCUGUGUCGUAGCUAACGCAUUAAGCGCCCCGCCUGGGGAGUACGGCCGCAAGGCUAAAACUCAAAGGAAUUGACGGGGGCCCGCACAAGCGGCGGAGCAUGCGGAUUAAUUCGAUGCAACGCGAAGAACCUUACCAAGGCUUGACAUACACCGGAAACGGCCAGAGAUGGUCGCCCCCUUGUGGUCGGUGUACAGGUGGUGCAUGGUUGUCGUCAGCUCGUGUCGUGAGAUGUUGGGUUAAGUCCCGCAACGAGCGCAACCCUCGUUCUAUGUUGCCAGCGCGUUAUGGCGGGGACUCAUAGGAGACUGCCGGGGUCAACUCGGAGGAAGGUGGGGAUGACGUCAAAUCAUCAUGCCCCUUAUGUCUUGGGCUUCACGCCAUGCUACCAAUGGCCUGGUAUAAAGGGCCUGCGUAUCACCUCGUCAAAGCGUUC
rnacentral:rRNA from 1 species